UACGAAGGGGGCUAGCGUUGCUCGGAAUCACUGGGCGUAAAGCGCACGUAGGCGGCUUCUUAAGUCAGGGGUGAAAUCCUGGAGCUCAACUCCAGAACUGCCUUUGAUACUGAGAAGCUUGAGUCCGGGAGAGGUGAGUGGAACUGCGAGUGUAGAGGUGAAAUUCGUAGAUAUUCGCAAGAACACCAGUGGCGAAGGCGGCUCACUGGCCCGGUACUGACGCUGAGGUGCGAAAGCAUGGGGAGCGAACAGG
rnacentral:rRNA from 1 species